UUCUUUAAAUGAGGACUUGUAUCAACGGCAUCACGAGGGUUAAACUGUCUCCUUUUUCAUAUCAGUGAAACUAAUCUCCCCGUGAAGAAGCGGGGAUAAUCCUAUAAGACGAGAAGACCCCAUGGAGCUUUAAACCCAACUACACUCCUUUUUGACUUUACUUUUUAACUCCUAGGAUUUUGUAUGUUCUGGUUUUAGGUUGGGGUGACCGCGGAGCAUAAAUUAGCCUCCACAAUGAAUAGACCUUCUCUUUAUCCAAGACUUACACCUCUAAGAAUUAGUAUUCUAACAUAAAAUGAUCCGAUAUUCGAUCAACGAACCAAGUUACCCUGGGGAUAACAGCGCAAUCUACUUCAAGAGCCCCUAUCGACAAGNGGGUUUACGACCUCGAUGUUGGAUCAGGGUAUCCUAGUGGUGCAGCAGCUACUAAAGGUUCGUUUGUUCAACGAUUAAAACCCU
rnacentral:rRNA from 1 species